AAGUGGAGCAAUCCAUGAGUAUAGUGGCGACCGGGUGAGUAACACGUGACUACCUGCCCUUGAGUGGGGGAUAACCUCGGGAAACCGAGGCUAAUACCGCAUAAUAUCGCAAGGUCAAAGGAGCAAUCCGCUUUUGGAGGGGGUCGCGGCUGAUUAGUUAGUUGGUAGGGUAAUGGCCUACCAAGGCGAAGAUCGGUAUCCGGCCUGAGAGGGCGCACGGACACACUGGAACUGAAACACGGUCCAGACUCCUACGGGAGGCAGCAGUGGGGAAUUUUGCGCAAUGGGGGAAACCCUGACGCAGCAACGCCGCGUGGAGGAUGAAGCCCCUUGGG
rnacentral:rRNA from 1 species